UACGUAGGGUGCGAGCGUUAAUCGGAAUUACUGGGCGUAAAGCGUGUGCAGGCGGUCUGUUAAGACAGGUGUGAAAUCCCCGGGCUUAACCUGGGAAUUGCGCUUGUUACUGGCAGACUAGAGUGCGUCAGAGGGAGGUGGAUUCCACGUGUAGCAGUGAAAUGCGUAGAGAUGUGGAGGAACACCGAUGGCGAAGGCAGCCUCCUGGGAUGACACUGACGCUCAUACACGAAAGCGUGGGGAGCAAACAGG
rnacentral:rRNA from 1 species